CAUAACUCAACUUCUUGUAAACACUUUGUACUUGUAACUUUGUUCAAGUAAUACAUAACCAUCUUUGUUGUAGUAUUGCACUACAAAACCAUAUCUGUGAUCCUCAUAAACAAAGACUUUCGCUACUAUACAUAACAAAACCCAUCCAAAAAGGCUGAACUUAGAAGUAUUCUAAGUGCCGCACGAGAGUUCAAGAAUAACUCCAUGACAUAAUGGUGAAAAUCAUGGUUUCGAAAACUGGAUUGUACCGCUCGGACCGUGGGCCGGAGAUCUGACCGGUUUGGUCCACCCUAUCGAACCAGAUUUGAGUCGGGUCAGCCGGUUGGACCGGAAAGAGGGUGGUCCGACCAGAUUUUGUAGGGGUUGGACAAGAUUUUGUUAAAAAAUCAUUUUUAUCAUAUUUAUUUUUAUAAUAUGCAUGUUAUAACCCGGUUUUUUAUCAUGGCCGUGUCCUUUAAAUGAGAAGCCGAAUGUGACUUUUACAAAGAACACACAUGAGAACCUUAACCCUGUGUGUUUUCACUAUUAGAUGCCUUUGUUUAUUGUAUACGAUCAUAUUCUAAGUUCUAUAGGUUUAACUCGUAAAUUGUGUUAGAGUAGCUAGAGUUUUCGUGUUUGUUUGAAAGGCAUCAUAAGAUGGAAUUAAAUAUUGGUGUAACUUUUUUACCCCAAAAUUAUUUUUUUAGUUUAUGGAUUUCGAUUUGAAUCUUUUUUAACACUCUUAAUCCCAAAUCCCAACUAAUUUUUUUCUCAAACAACUUUCAUAAACAACAAGCCACUAGUAAGCCACCACAAAACAACAAACAACCAUAGAAUUACAAAUCAAAGGUUCUCCAUUUAGCCAAAUCCCAACUAGUGUUUUAUGGAUACUCCUUUUGGGAUUGGUUUUUCUCUAUAUAACUAUAUAAAGCAAAUGUGAUGUACACACAUGUAAUUUUACAUCGCGUCCACUAUUGUAUGUGAUGUACACACAUGUAAUUUUACAUCGUGUCCACCAUUUUAUGCAAUAUGUACACGUAAUGAAUGCUUAUUUUAUAAGGGUGAAAUUGUAAAAAACACCAAAUUUUAAGACGCUCAGAGGGUAUAAUAGUAAUUUUGCCCACACCUCAUACUCACGUACACAAAAACCUUUCCUCCACUGCCCCUGAAGAAACCUAAUAGUCAUCCACACAAUGAAACGGAACCAUGAAUGCGAAUCCCUGAUUGAACAAUGGAAAGAAUUAUUUAUGGAACGUAAAACUGAAGACGGUGAUUGAAUGUGCUCCUGAUCCACCAUUAUUUAAGAUGUAACCCAUGCUUCAAUUAUGUAGUAUGUAGUUAUCUACCACUUCAGUGCCCUGUUUUCAGGUCCACACACGCUCCUUAUUUCACACGGCUGCAUCCGGAAUCCAUGUAUCUCAGGCGUAACUACAUCCAACAUAGCCACAAUGUCUGACUUACCUGUUGACGUAAUCGUUUACGGUAUACUGAUGAGGGUCCAACGAAGACUACUGUCCAAUCUAAGACUGUGUGUAAGGUGUUAGUACAAUAACGUCUGUAGCUUCCGUCAGCAUGUAGUCAUAUUUUUGUAUGUGAAUAGUUUAUGUUUGUAUGUAUAGUUUGUAAAACAAGUCAGGAUAUGACGCGUUUUUGUUAAGUGCUGACUUGUGUUGAUUAUGCCAGCCGAUCGGCUAGCCCAGCCGAUCGGACAGCCCAACCGAUCGGAUAGGCUGUUCGAU